AGAGUUGGACACUCAACUGACUGAGCCAUCCAGGAGCUGUAGAUGAGGAAUUACUGAAGAGAGAACCCAGCGCUUAGAAUGUCCAAGCAAAACCAUCAGCUGACUACAAUAUCGUCAAGCGUUUGCUGCGUUAACCAACAUACAUGGCACAUACCUCUCAAUGGUGUAACUUGCAGCAAGGACACUCAUCUCUCAGUGCUGAGGACAUGGGCUCCUCAACUGCUCCUUGCCAUGUGGUCUUGGCUUCUGAAGUGUGUUAGAAUGCAGAAUGUGGAAACGUCUUAUGGAGUGGUGCACCCAAAGCACGGGGGAGAACCGGACGUUGGGGGAGAAGCAGACAUUGAUUGUGGUCUAGUGAGAUCUGGGAAGGCUUCCUGGAAAGUUUGCCAUUUGCGCUGGACCUUCAAGAACGUGUGGAUUUCUGGAGGUUUCUGGUCUGUGGGGCACCUGGCUUGCUCAGUUGGUGG